AUCUCGCCUUUUAUCACCGCACCAAAUCUGGGAUAAUUCCCCGGUCCUCCCCCCAUUUUAAGCUAUAACAGGCUGCUGUUACGCUGGAAUCAACCCUAGGGUUUAUCACCUUUCGCAGUUGCGCCCCCCUUAACAAUCGACGUUACCGCACUCACCGGAUCUUCUGUUGGACACCGGUGGUGGCGAAUCCAUAAGCAGAGAUGAAGAUUGUGGCGGCGUAACUCCUCGCCGUACUCGGUGGCAUCUCCCACCCCUCUGCUGACGAUAUCAGGUCUAUCCUCGAGUCAGUCGGAGCGGAGGGGGAUAACGACAGGAUCGAUCUCCUGCUGUGCGAAGUCUCCAAGAAGGACAUCACGGAGGUCAUCGCUGCCGGAAGGGAGAAGUUCGCACUUCGCAUCUGUUCCUUCGGGAGGCGCUGUAGCAACUGUCGCAGUAUCGAGCGGCGGUGGGGGUGGCGCUGGAGCUGCUCAGGCGGAGGAACCCGAGAAGGAAGAAGAGGUCGAGGAGAAGGAGGAAUCCGACGACGACAUGGGUUUCAGCUUGUUCGAUUAAGCAAUGCAUUGCUGCGGAUCGACCAAUGAUUCGUUUUUUAAGGUGUUGAUAAACUUUGGCUUUUGCAUUCUGGUUUCAUUCUCAAAGUAUAGAUUCGUUUCUUUUGGUGUAUGGUUUUGGAUCCAGUGAUUAUUUUUAUACUAUCGAGAAAUACAUAUAUCAAUGUCAAGUCUUGCUAAAUAACAAUCACUAUGGAAAAAUCUCCUUUUACCAGUAUCAUUGCCUGCCUUUCAA